UCUGCAGUAUAAAAUAAAUUUAACUCGUCUAUAAUAUAAAGAAUUCAUAAUUUAUAUUUGCAUUUCACAUUUGACUUGGUAUUCAUAAAAUAUAAUUUUGAUUAAUCAUAUUUAAUUCGAGUAUCUACCUUUCUUUUGGCAUUCCAGCAUCCUAUUCUAAUAGUAAGCAAUAUUGAACAAUUGUUUAAAUUGUGCUAUUUCAAUUGUGCUUAAUCUAUUCAAGAUGCAUUUUUUUCAAAAAGUAAAGACAUGGUCUUCAGCUUCAUAUUCGUUUAUUCAACGGUUACUAGGAAUCCUGUGUUUAUUCAUUCUGGACAACAAACACAUGACGAUGAUAUAUAUCUCGACCAACGUCUGGCUGCUAUACGUGGCACGUCUGAUCGCUGGAUCUGUCAUAUUUUUUUUCAAGUCGUCUCUACUGGCACUAAGGGCCGGUCAGGUUAGGUUAGGAGUCAGGUUAGGAGUCCUCCAGACUCGACCGCAUGUGGCCUCGGCUCGGCCGCCACCGGCUGUCCCGGCCCGCCAGAUGCUCCUCACCUUCGCGUGACAUCUAUACGGGGAUAGUAUAAAAACAUAAAAAACAAUAAUCGAGGUUAAUGGUGGUAAAGUUUGGGUUAGGUUAGGUAUUUUUUGAUGUUGUUCAUCAUUCAAUAGCCAAUUUGUAAAUGCAGGUGUAUGAAAUAGUGCCUAUACAUAUUUACAAAAAUAAAAUAAAAUAUGUAUACUUUAAUAACAUAA